rnacentral:rRNA from 1 species
AAGGGUCCGUAGGCGGACUCGUAAGUCAGUGGUGAAAUCUCAUAGCUUAACUAUGAAACUGCCAUUGAUACUGCGGGUCUUGAGUAAGGUAGAGGUAGGCUGGAAUAAGUAGUGUAGCGGUGAAAUGCAUAGAUAUUACUUAGAACACCAAUUGCGAAGGCAGGUUACCAUGUCUUAACUGACGCUGAUGGACGAAAGCGUGGGGAGCGAACAGGAUUAGAUACCCCUGU